ACAAAGUUAUAGGCUCUGCACACUGAGCCCAUCCCGGGGGAAUGGUGGGAUUUUUUGACAGAUGUGAAACUCCGAUUCACACUGCCACCAUCCACCAUCCACCAUCCGUCAAAAACAGCUGAUGCCAAUAACAAGUUCAUUAAAUUUGCGCGGAAGAUUUAUUAAUUCUUGGUUCUUAUAAUGGAUGAUGAAGAUAUAGCAAUUAUUUCGGCUGUGGUUCAACAGCAAAAUAUUUUCUUGCACCAACUAAUAAUGUUGCUGUCAAUGAAUAAUGAUGAUGACUUUAACAUUGACGAGGAUGAGAUGACCCAGAUGACUGCCAUAAAAACACAAAAGCCAGGAAGAUUAUGGUCGUUUAAGCGGUUCGGGACAUUUUGGGAGAAAGAUGUACCAGAAAACAACGAGGCGUUUUUCAAAGAGAGUUUCCGAAUGGAGAGGCCCUGCUUUGAUAUUUUAGUGAAUCGGCUUGAAGUGCUGCGAAAGAAGGACACCAACUGCCGAGCUGCAAUUCCUUUGGAAAAGCGCAUCGCCAUUGCGCUAUACACUUUGGGCUCGUCCUCUGAGUACCGAACAGUUGGCAGGCUUUUCGGUGUAGCUCCAAACAGUGUGUGUAAUAUCCUGCACGAGUUUUGCAGAGCACUUAUCGACGAGUUUUCGAAGGAGUACAUGUCCUAACUUCCGACAAAAUUGAUGAGUGCGUAAAGGGAUUCGAGGCAAUUGGGUUUCCUCAGUGCCUAGGUGCAAUUGAUGGAUGCCACAUCGAAAUAAAACCACCAGCAGCUGAGGCAGUAGACCACCAUAACUAUAAGGGCUGGUAUUCCACAGUCUUGUUUGCCCUAGUGGAUUAUAGAUACAGAUUUACAUAUGUAAAUAUCGGCUCUGCAGGAAGGUGCAAUGACUCGAUGAUAUACCAGAAGUCAAGCCUUGCAAAACAUAUCGAAGCAUCGACAUUACUCCAAGAGAAAGCCAAGGAAAUAAGCGGAGUAAACAUCCCUGUAAUGCUUAUCGGGGACUCGGCAUUUAGGUUUUCUAAAAAGCUGAUGAAACCUUACGCGUUUUCCACAGUCGCCUCUUUGGAACAGCGCACGUUUAACUACAACCUUUCCAAAGCUAGGCGAGUGGUGGAAAAUGCAUUUGGGCAUUUAAAAGCCAGAUUUCGAAUAAUCGGAAAAGGUCUUGAUAGCCACCACAAAAAUAAUAGCGCCAUAAUAAUGAGCUGUUGUAUUUUACACAAUAUAUUAAAUAUGCACAACA